rnacentral:rRNA from 1 species
AGAAUAAUCUUUCUUAAGAAACUCAUUAUAUUAAUGAGUACUAAUUUAAAACGAAAUCCUAGAUUUCUGUAAAUUAGCAUCUGGUGAUUAUGGCUUGAAGGUAACACCCGUUCCCAUGCCGAACACGAAGGUUAAGCUUCAAAGCGCUGAUGGUACUGCAGGGGAGGCCCUGUGGAAGAGUAA